UACGUAGGGGGCAAGCGUUGUCCGGAAUCAUUGGGCGUAAAGAGCGCGUAGGCGGUCCGGUAAGUCCGCUCUGAAAGUCCGGGGCUCAACCCCGGAAGGCUGGCGGAUACUGUCGGGCUAGAGUCCGGAAGAGGCGAGUGGAAUUCCUGGUGUAGCGGUGAAAUGCGCAGAUAUCAGGAGGAACACCAAUGGCGAAGGCAGCUCGCUGGGACGGUACUGACGCUGAGGCGCGAAAGCGUGGGGAGCAAACAGG
rnacentral:rRNA from 1 species